rnacentral:rRNA from 1 species
AGCAGUAGCCGCGGUAAUACGUAGGGUGCGAGCGUUAAUCGGAAUUACUGGGCGUAAAGCGUGCGCAGGCGGUUUUGUAAGACAGGCGUGAAAUCCCCGGGCUCAACCUGGGAAUGGCGCUUGUGACUGCAAAGCUAGAGUGCGGCAGAGGGGGAUGGAAUUCCGCGUGUAGCAGUGAAAUGCGUAGAUAUGCAGAGGAACACCGAUGGCGAAGGCAAUCCCCUGGGCCUGCACUGACGCUCAUGCACGAAAGCGUGGGGAGCAAACAGGAUUAGAGACCCCUGUAGUCCCUGUCUCUUAUAC